UCGAGUUAGGGUCUAUGGCCCGACCUCCAACCCCGUGUUUAAAUACCAUGUUGCUUUGGCGGGCCCGUCCUUGGACCGCCGGCGGUCUUUGUUGACCCCUGGCCCGUGCCCGUCGAGAGCCCCUAUCAAACCUUUGACCCAAAUGUGUCGUCUGAGUUCAAACUUUAAUAGUUA
rnacentral:misc_RNA from 1 species